ensembl:lncRNA
UAUAUAAUUGAUAUAUAUAAUUGAAUUAUAUAACCAUACACAAAGCUGUCUGAAUGUAUCUCUUUUCUUAUCUAAAAACAGGGCCAUGUCCUGAGCACAACCAUCACACCAGGCAAGGGCUUUUCAGUUGGUCCCAAACUGGGGUUCAGCGCAACACCUCACUUUCCUGUGUGGGAAACCCUAAAAAGUUAGCCUAUAGGCAAUGUCUUCUGGAUGCAAACGUUGGAGCUCUUUGGAAAUCUCCAGACCUGCGGCAAUGCCAGGUUGUGGUCAACAGUGUGUCAGACCUGGAGGACAUUACAGUCACUUAUGGUGAACAUUAAAUACACAAGCUUCUAGUUAAAGGAAUAGCUCACCCAGAAAUGGACAUUUGCUGAAAAUGUACUCACUCUCAGUGAGUACUCUCAAUCUCAUCAAAGAUGUAGAUGUUCUUUGGAACAAAUUGUGGACAAAUUUAGCAUCACAUCACUUGCUCACCAGCUGAUCUUCUGCAGUGAAUGGGUGCUGUCAGAAUUAGAGUCCAAACAGCUGACAAAAACAUCACCAUAAUCCAAAAAUUGACAUACAAUCCAUCAAUUAACAUCUUGUGACACACAAAGAAGACCCACUGCUGAUAGCAAGUGAUGUAAUGCUAAAUUUCUCUACACGUCUUGGAUGGGCUGAGGGUGAGGAAAUUUUCAGCAUUUCAGAUAUCAUUUGUUUCCUUUAAACUAAACAGAAAUGAACUGAAUUGAACAUACCAUCAUCUCAUUCAGAGCAAAUACACAAGUGGAUAGGAAUCUGUUUUAACACAUUAGCCUCUGUAUGAUACAAAUAUCUAUAGUACAUGGGUGCAUCCUAAAAACAAUCCUUAUGCAAUUUGCCUAUUAGACAAUGCAGAAGAUAUUCUGAUCAUGAUUGAGGACUUGAUACAUGAGAACAAAAAUCUGGAUGAGUACGAGCUCUCAACGGUACUCGAUAAACUAGCUGAUGUGAUUAACGUUAGUGUGAUCACGCCUCCGCUGGGAGAGGUCAUCAUCAACAUCACAUCUGACAUCCUGGAGUCUGACAGCAACCUGCUGCCUUUCACCAACAGCAUUCUGAACAUCACAGAGUCUGUCGGAGACCAGAUGUUAGGGUUCAGUGGAGAGUCAUUCAGCUUAACAGCUCCUGCCUUAGCAAUAUCAGUGGUCAAUAUUGACCAAGGAAAUUUUCACAACCUUACCUUUGGAGUCUCUUCCACUAACAAAGGCUUAAACCCUGAGGUGAGUGCAUAACACCGUCACGAAACUAGUGGAACUUUAUUUUUAUAUACAACUGUGCAAAGGUUUGGGGAUAGACUUUUUUUGUU